GUUUUUUCUUUGUUUUACAGGCCUACUCAAAGGGAUAGGCAGUCUGCAGGCUGUGCAUAUGUGUUGGACGAUGGUAUCAGCCCACUGUGGGAUGCACUCUGUCUCAUGUCAAAUAUGGUCUCGCAGUAGCUUCCCUCCUGGUAGGGGACAUUUGCCGCCUUGCUCUGGAGAACCAAUGGAACGGCCUUGUACAGCCGCAGACCCUAGAACCGAUCUAGCGCUGAUCACAGACAGAACCAGUUCUGAUCCAUUCCAGAACUUUCCCAAAAUUGGCUCAGUAUUUGGGCCAGCUGUGUGAGCUUAUCCCUUUUGGCUAUUACACAACGGCUAAACAAACAGCGUGCCAGUGACUCUCACCGAAAUUAUCAGCCAUGGCAGAGAUACAGGCUGUUUUCACUGGAGAAGACAAUGGGAACAGGGUGGAAGUGGAUGUGGGGUUGGAGUUUUUUUGACUGGAUAUGGCCAUUGUGCACACGGACGUAGGGUGAUUUAUGGCACAGGCCCGCCCACGUGGUGCCACGGCCAAUGAUAUUGUGUGGGAAAUCACUUCCAGCCAAUCCGAGGCUUCUAUAUCAUUGUGUUCUCUCUGUAAAAAGUCCCCAUUCCUCUUGGGACUCGAAGGUAUGUUUUCAAAGAGGAGGAAAUGAGCGUUUUAUUUAUUAAAUCCUAUACAUUUAUUUAUAAUGCCCUCUCUUUACUGAUUUAUUUUAGGCUUUUGGCAGUGCUGCCUAUGUGCAUUGUUU